rnacentral:rRNA from 1 species
GAUGAACGCUGGCGGCGUGCCUAAUACAUGCAAGUCGAGCGAACGGACGAGAAGCUUGCUUCUCUGAUGUUAGCGGACGGACGGGUGAGUAACACGUGGAUAACCUACCUAUAAGACUGGGAUAACUUCGGGAAACCGUAGCUAAUACCGGAUAAUAUUUUGAACCGCAUGGUUCAAAAGUGAAAGACGGUCUUGCUGUCACUUAUAGAUGGAUCCGCGCUGCAUUAGCUAGUUGGUAAGGUAACGGCUUACCAAGGCAACGAUGCAUAGCCGACCUGAGAGGGUGAUCGGCCACACUGGAACUGAGACACGGUCCAGACUCCUACGGGAGGCAGCAGUAGGGAAUCUUCCGCAAUGGGCGAAAGCCUGACGGAGCAACGCCGCGUGAGUGAUGAAGGUCUUCGGAUCGUAAAACUCUGUUAUUAGGGAAGAACAUAUGUGUAAGUAACUGUGCACAUCUUGACGGUACCUAAUCAGAAAGCCACGGCUAACUACGUG